UAUCUCUGUAGAGUCUGCAUAUCAAUAAGCGGAGGAAAAGAAACUAACAUAGGAUUCCCUCAGUAACGGCGAGUGAAGCGGGAAGAGCUCAAAUUUGAAAUCUUCAAGGUUCUACCUUGACGAAUUGUAGUUUAAAGAAGUGUUUUCUGUUGGAGUUUUGGUAAAAGUUCUUUGGAAUAGGACAUCAUAGAGGGUGAGAAUCCCGUAUUUGACCAGUUACUUUCCAGCUGUGUGAUACACUUUCAAAGAGUCGGAUUGUUUGGGAAUGCAGUCCAAAAUGGGUGGUAAAUUUCAUCUAAAGCUAAAUACUGGCGAGAGACCGAUAGCGAACAAGUACCGUGAGGGAAGGAUGAAAAGAACUUUGAAAAGAGAGUUAAACAGUACGUGAAAUUGUCAAAAGGGAAGCGUUUGACACCAGUGUUGUUUUCUCGAAAAUCAAUUAAGAAUGGCAUGAUUUUGUGUUGUAUUGACCUUAUCAGCUUUCUUCACUCUUUUCUGAGUCUUUUUUAAUGCACUUUUCGGUUAACAAGUCAACAUCAAUUUCUUUUGUUGUAAAAGAGUCAUUCGGAAGGUGGCUUUCUUUUCGGAGAAAGUGUUUAUAGCCCUUAUGCCUCUACAAUCGGAGAGAUUGAGGUCUGCAGCGUAGAUCCUUCGGGGUUAGAUACAUUUGUGCUAAGUUAUAGCCUUUCAUAGACAACUUGUUGACUAUGAUCAGUCAUGUAGCUUACUCGCUUAGUGCUAUUUUACCUACGCUUAGGAUGUUGAAGAUGUAGCACAUCAU
rnacentral:rRNA from 1 species